rnacentral:rRNA from 1 species
GAUGAACGCUGGCGGCGUGCUUAAUACAUGCAAGUCGAGCGAACAGACGAGGAUCUUGCUCCUCUGACGUUAGCGGCGGACGGGUGAGUAACACGUGGAUACCCUACCUAUAAGACUGGGAUCACUUCGGGAAACCGGAGCUAAUACCGGAUAAUAUAUUGAACCGCAUGGUUCAAUAGUGAAAGACGGUUUUGCUGUCACUUAUCGAUGGAUCUGCGCCGCAUUAGCUAGUUGGUAAGGUAACGGCUUACCAAGGCAACGAUGCGUAGCCGACCUGAGAGGGUGAUAGGCCACACUGGAACUGAGACACGGUCCAGACUCCUACGGGAGGCAGCAGUAGGGAAUCGGCCGCAAUGGGGGAAAGCCUGACGGAGCAACGCCGCGUGAGUGAUGAAGGUCUUCGGAUCGGAAAACUCUGUUAUUAGGGAAGAACAAAUGUGUAAGUAACUAUGCACGUCUUGACGGUACCGAAUCAGAAAGCCACGGCUAACUACGUG